rnacentral:ribozyme from 1 species
GGGAAUGCAAAAAAAAAAAAAAAAAAAAAAAAAAAAAAA